UACAGAGGUCUCAAGCGUUGUUCGGAUUCAUUGGGCGUAAAGGGUGCGUAGGUGGCGCGCUAAGUCGGGGUGUGAAAUUUCGGAGCUUAACUCCGAAACUGCAUUCGAUACUGGCGUGCUCGAGGACUGGAGAGGAGACUGGAAUUUACGGUGUAGCGGUGAAAUGCGUAGAUAUCGUAAGGAAGACCCAGUGGCGAAGGCGGGUCUCCUGGACAGUUCCUG
rnacentral:rRNA from 1 species